UACGUAGGGUGCAAGCGUUAAUCGGAAUUACUGGGCGUAAAGCGUGCGCAGGCGGUUUUGUAAGUCUGUCGUGAAAUCCCCGGGCUCAACCUGGGAAUUGCGAUGGAGACUGCAAGGCUAGAAUCUGGCAGAGGGGGGUAGAAUUCCACGUGUAGCAGUGAAAUGCGUAGAGAUGUGGAGGAACACCGAUGGCGAAGGCAGCCCCCUGGGUCGAAG
rnacentral:rRNA from 1 species